CACUAAAAGCAAGUAACUCCUUUUACAAAAACGUGAUGUCACAUAAUUGUUAUUCUCAAAACGGGUUUUUCCUUAGCGAUUUUUAUUUUUUAGUAUCCACAUUGGCCGGAAGACCGCGCUAUUUAGCGCACUGAAGUUCGUAACACACGGCAGAAUGAUCGUCUCAUUAGUUCACUGAUGCUGUACUCUCAGUAUUAAUAAAAACUACGUAAUUAUGUGCAAUAAAUAUACAGUGGUUAAUUGUUUUGGUUAAAUAACAAUUAUUAUUAAUAUAAAAAUGAAAGUGAAUUUGUUUAGUUUGUUUCUCAUAUUUGUGAUAUUAGCUUUAAGUUUACAAGAAUCUCUGGCUGCCAUCAAACCGAGGCGAUCGUGCAAGUACGAUUGUGAUGAGUACUGCCAAACCAAGGGUUCCAGCUCUGGUGUAUGUCUACGGUCUAUAUGCAAGUGUUCUUCGCUCAAUACAAUAUUUGAUUAAGCCAUCGAGAAAGUACGAGAAUGUUCCAUGAAUUUAGAAGAAUAAAUUAUUAGGUAGUA